rnacentral:RNase_P_RNA from 1 species
GAUGACCGCCGCCGCAGGUCCCGAAAGGGCGCGGGGGAGGAAAGUCCGGGCUCCACGGAACGACGGUGCCGGGUAACACCCGGCGGGGGCGACCCCAGGGAAAGUGCCACAGAAAUUAUACCGCGAACGGGGCUUGCCCCGCCGCAAGGGUGAAAUGGUGCGGCAAGAGCGCACCGCGCCUCCGGCAACGGCGGCGGCAGGGCAAACCCCACCGGGAGCAAGACCGAAUAGGGGCGGCAUGGGCCUUCGGGCCCGGGAUGUUCCGGUCCGCCGCCCGGGUAGGUCGCGCGAAGCCUCCGGCAACGGAGGUUCCAGAUGAAUGGUCAUCCCUUGGCGGUUCGCCGCAAAGGACAGAACCCGGCUUACAGGCCGGCUGGCGCC